rnacentral:rRNA from 1 species
GAAGCAAUCGGAAGUGGUUCCAAGAAAAGCCUCUAAGCUUCAGUCAUACGAGACCGUACCGCAAACCGACACAGGUGGGCGAGAUGAGUAUUCUAAGGCGCUUGAGAGAACUCGGGAGAAGGAACUCGGCAAAUUGGUACCGUAACUUCGGGAUAAGGUACGCCUCGGUAGCUUGACCACUUUACUGUGGAAGGGCGAAAAGGUUGCAAUAAACUGGUGGCUGCGACUGUUUAAUAAAAACACAGCACUCUGCAAACACGAAAGUGGACGUAUAGGGUGUGACGCCUGCCCGGUGCUGGAAGAUUAAAUGAUGGGGUGCAAGCUCUUGAUUGAAGUCCCAGUAAACGGCGGCCGUAACUAUAACGGUCCUAAGGUAGCGAAAUUCCUUGUCGGGUAAGUUCCGACCUGCACGAAUGGCGUAACGAUGGCCACACUGUCUCCUCCCGAGACUCAGCGAAGUUGAAGUGUUUGUGAUGAUGCAAUCUACCCGCGGCUAGACGGAAAGACCCCAUGAACCUUUACUGUAGCUUUGCAUUGGACUUUGAACCAAUCUGUGUAGGAUAGGUGGGAGGCUUUGAAGUAGGGACGCCAGUUCCUAUGGAGCCAUCCUUGAAAUACCACCCUGGUUUGUUUGAGGUUCUAACCUUGGUCCGUGAUCCGGAUCGGGGACAGUGCAUGGUAGGCAGUUUGACUGGGGCGGUCUCCUCCCAAACGGUAACGGAGGAGUUCGAAGGUACGCUAGGUACGGUCGGACAUCGUGCUAAUAGUGCAAUGGCAUAAGCGUGCUUAACUGCGAGACCGACAAGUCGAGCAGGUACGAAAGUAGGACAUAGUGAUCCGGUGGUUCUGUAUGGAAGGGCCAUCGCUCAACGGAUAAAAGGUACUCUGGGGAUAACAGGCUGAUUCCUCCCAAGAGUUCAUAUCGACGGGGGAGUUUGGCACCUCGAUGUCGGCUCAUCACAUCCUGGGGCUGUAGCCGGUCCCAAGGGUAUGGCUGUUCGCCAUUUAAAGUGGUACGUGAGCUGGGUUUAAAACGUCGUGAGACAGUUUGGUCCCUAUCUGCCGUGGGCGUUGGAAAUUUGAAGGGGGCUGCUCCUAGUACGAGAGGACCGGAGUGGACGAACCUCUGGUGUACCGGUUGUCACGCCAGUGGCAUUGCCGGGUAGCUAAGUUCGGAAGAGAUAACCGCUGAAAGCAUCUAAGCGGGAAACUUGCCUUAAGAUGAGAUUUCCCGGAGCCUUGAGCUCCUUGAAGGGUCGUUCGAGACCAGGACGUUGAUAGGUCAGGUGUGGAAGUGCAGUAAUGCAUUAAGCUAACUGAUACUAAUUGCCCGUACGGCUUGUCCCUAUAACCUUGACGGUUAUGUA